rnacentral:rRNA from 1 species
UACGUAGGGUGCAAGCGUUGUCCGGAAUUAUUGGGCGUAAAGAGCUCGUAGGCGGUCUGUCGCGUCUGCUGUGAAAACUCGGGGCUUAACCCCGGGCCUGCAGUGGGUACGGGGCAGACUAGAGUGCGGUAGGGGAGACUGGAAUUCCUGGUGUAGCGGUGAAAUGCGCAGAUAUCAGGAGGAACACCGGUGGCGAAGGCGGUUCUCUGGGCAUUACCUGACGCUGAGGAGCGAAAGUGUGGGGAGCGAACAGG